rnacentral:rRNA from 1 species
CAGCCGCCACGGGAAUACAGAGGAUGCAAGCGUUAUCCGGAAUGAUUGGGCGUAAAGCGCGUCUAGGUGGUUAUGUAAGUCUGAUGUGAAAAUGCAGGGCUCAACUCUGUAUCGCGUUGGAAACUGUAUAACUAGAGUACUGGAGAGGUAAGCGGAACUACAAGUGUAGAGGUGAAAUUCGUAGAUAUUUGUAAGAAUGCCGAUGGGGAAGCCAGCUUACUGGACAGAUACUGACGCUGAAGCGCGAAAGCGUGGGUAGCAAACAGGAUUAGAUACCCCUGUAGUCCCUGUCUCUUAUACA